rnacentral:rRNA from 1 species
UACAGAGGGGGCAAGCGUUGUUCGGAAUUACUGGGCGUAAAGGGCGCGUAGGCGGCCUGUUAAGUCGAACGUGAAAUCCCCGGGCUCAACCCGGGAACUGCGUCCGGUACUGGCAGGCUUGAAUCCGGGAGAGGGAUGCGGAAUUCCAGGUGUAGCGGUGAAAUGCGUAGAUAUCUGGAGGAACACCGGUGGCGAAGGCGGCAUCCUGGACCGGUAUUGACGCUGAGGUGCGAAAGCGUGGGGAGCAAACAGG